CCUACGGGUGGCAGCAGUGAGGAAUAUUGGUCAAUGGACGAGAGUCUGAACCAGCCAAGUAGCGUGAAGGAUGACUGCCCUAUGGGUUGUAAACUUCUUUUAUAUGGGAAUAAAAUGUUCCACGUGUGGGAUUUUGUAUGUACCAUAUGAAUAAGGAUCGGCUAACUCCGUGCCAGCAGCCGCGGUAAUACGGAGGAUCCGAGCGUUAUCCGGAUUUAUUGGGUUUAAAGGGAGCGUAGGUUGAUUGUUAAGUCAGUUGUGAAAGUUUGCGGCUUAACCGUAAAAUUGCAGUUGAAACUGGCAGUCUUGAGUACAGUAGAGGUGGGCGGAAUUCGUGGUGUAGCGGUGAAAUGCUUAGAUAUCACGAAGAACUCCGAUUGCGAAGGCAGUUCACUGGACUGCAACUGACACUGAGGCUCGAAAGUGUGGGUAUCAAACAGGAUUAGAUACCCGAGUAGUC
rnacentral:rRNA from 1 species